GACGAACGCUGGCGGCGUGCUUAACACAUGCAAGUCGAGCGACGAAGUUUCUUCGGAAAUGGAUUAGCGGCGAACGGGUGAGGAACACGUGAAGAAUCUGCCCUCCACUUUGGGAUAACACCGGGAAACCGGUGCUAAUACUGAAUAUUGAAACAUAAGUGGCAUCACUGAGUUUUGAAAGAAUUUCGGUGGAGGAUGACUUCGCGGCCUAUCAGCUAGUUGGUGAGGUAAUGGCUCACCAAGGCAACGACGGGUAGCCGGCCUGAGAGGGCGACCGGCCACACUGGGACUGAGACACGGCCCAGACUCCUACGGGAGGCAGCAGUGGGGAUAUUGGGCAAUGGAGGAAACUCUGACCCAGCGACGCCGCGUGCGGGAUGAAGGCCUUCGGGUUGUAAACCGCUUUCAGUAGGGAAGAAGCGAAAGUGACGGUACCUACAAAAGAAGCACCGGCUAACUAUGUGCCAGCCGCCGCCGUAA
rnacentral:rRNA from 1 species